rnacentral:lncRNA from 1 species
CUGGAUCUGGCUGUGGCAAAGAUGAAAGCACAUUUUCAUUGCCAUUCAAAGUCAAACACUGAAAGCAAAUCAAACAUAAGAUAAAGAAAUACAGUCCUUGCACAACUCCCUGAACAGGGAGGUGUGAAAGGAACCGGUGAGGAGCCUUUCUUGCAGCGUAUUCCUUGCUGUCGUCUCUUGCAAUCCUGAGUUUCAGCUUAACCCCUUCUGCCUCACGGGACAUGAGAGCACAAAAAUUGCUCUUUCCAGCCAGGAAGGGCUACUAAGAGCCACAGUGGUGAAAGGAAUCACCAUGAGGGUUUCCCCAGAUGUGCAACAGUUGCUGUAAAUCAGGAAUCACUGCGUCCUCUCUGUCCAAGCGACUUUUCUUCCAGCAUGACUGAAAG